GACAAACGCUGGCGGAAUGUAUUAGGCAUGCAAGUCGCACGAACCUUCGGGUUAGUGGCGGACGGGUGAGUAACACGUGGGUAACCUGCCUCGUAGUGGGGAAUAACUCGCCGAAAGGCGAGCUAAUACCGCAUAACACUCCCGAUGAGAAUUCGGGUAGUAAAAGCUCCGGCGCUAUGAGAGGGGCCCGCGGCCGAUUAGCUUGUUGGUGGGGUAAUGGCCUACCAAGGCGACGAUCGGUAGCUGGUCUGAGAGGAUGGUCAGCCACACGGGGACUGAGAUACGGCCCCGACUCCUACGGGAGGCUG
rnacentral:rRNA from 1 species